GUCGUAACAAGGUUUCCGUAGGUGAACCUGCGGAAGGAUCAUUACCACACCUAAAAAACUUUCCACGUGAACCGUAUCAACCACCUAGUUGGGGUUCUCGGUAGCUGUGUGGCAUGUGGACUCGUUCUACGUGCUGCUGGCGGCUGAGACCUAUCAUGGCGAGCGUUUGGGCUUUCGGGCCUGGAUUAGUAGCCCUCUUUUAAACUCAUUCUGUAAAACUGAUUAUACUGUGGGGACGAAAGUCUCUGCUUUUAACUAGAUAGCAACUUUCAGCAGUGGAUGUCUAGGCUCGCACAUCGAUGAAGAACGCUGCGAACUGCGAUACGUAAUGCGAAUUGCAGGAUUCAGUGAGUCAUCGAAAUUUUGAACGCAUAUUGCACUUCCGGGUUAGUCCUGGGAGUAUGCCUGUAUCAGUGUCCGUACAUCAAACUUGGCUUUCUUCCUUCCGUGUAGUCGGUGGAUGGAGACGCCAGAUGUGAAGUGUCUUGCGGCUGUCCGUUUUUCGGUCGACUGCGAGUCCUUUUAAAUGUACUGAACUGUAUUCUCUUUGCUCGAAAAGCGUGACGUUGCUGGUUGUGGAGGCUGCCCGUGUGGCCAGUCGGCGACCGGUUUGUCUGCUGCGGUGUUAAUGGAGGAGUGUUCGAUUCGCGGUAUGGUUGGCUUCGGCUGAACAAACGCUUAUUGGGUGCUUUUGCUGCUGUGGCGUGAUGGACUGGUGAACCGUAGCUGUGUGAGCUUGGCUUUUGAACUAGUGGUGUAAUGCGAAGUAGAGUGGCGUCGUGCGUCUUUAUGGCGUGUGUUCGUCGAGGGUCGAUCCAUUUUGGGAAAUGUUGUGUGUGCUUCGGCGCGCAUCUCAAUUGGACCUGAUAUCAGGCAAGAUUACCCGCUGAACUUAAGCAUAUCAAUAAGCGGA
rnacentral:rRNA from 1 species